GUCCCCGCACCGCCCAGCUCCCGCAACCGACCGCCCCGAGGCGGGGCGGGGUGCCCGCGCGCUCUCCAGCAGUUCCCGGGGCAAGAGACUAGAGGCUGUCCUGCGGCGCGGCUCUGGGUGGCGACCCGUGAGGGCGCAGUGGUUCGAGGCGGGGAGCCCCGGACCCCGCAGGCUAGGGGGUGAAGGGAGGACGGCACUGGGAGCCACUGUCCGGAGCCCGGCGCCCCCGCCCCGCGCGGGCCCUGACCGUGAGAGCGGACGUGGGAUUGCCGCGCGCUUCCAGCUGCCUGCGGGCGGUGGCCUCUCGGCUUCGGUCUCCGGGAGUAGGGGGAGGCGGUGGCGCGGGCGCUGAGAUCGGGGCCCGCCCGCCCUGGGCGCUGGUGGGCGCCGCCGCCGCCCGGCUGUCGGGUCAGGGAACUCCGGCGGGCUAGGGCUUCCGCGGUGUUUGCGGUCUGGGCCUCACACUCCCCGCAGGACUGGCUCGCGGCAUAUCGCCCCAAAGCCCCACGCUGUCCGGGUCGUGGAUCCCACAUCCCGACCGGUUGCUCAGCCUCAAUCUGGAAGUGAACCGCCGGGCCGGACGGCCAGCGAUCCCCCCUCCCGUAGGCUGUGAACUCUACUUAGAAUGGGCGCCUAGUCCGCAAUUCAACAAGUCCUUAACGAGUACGUGCUGUGAACAAAUGACUGAUGGAAAUGAAUUAGCUCUAGAGCCCUGUCAAUUAAGUUAAUUCUUACAAUUCCAUUUUUAUUUGGUUUCACAGUGCUGCUAACUAUCAAUAGAUUUAUUUGUGGGGGUGUUUCUUUGGGGGAAAUACAUUUGUAAGGUAAUACUUUUUUGAGAAAUCGAUUAUGUUGUUUAUGGAAGGAGUUAUCAAUUAGUUUGUGAUUUUUUAAAACUGAUUUCCGAUUCCUCAAAAACAUAUUUUUAAUUCGUCUUAAUAGCUGGAGCUGGGUCUUCAUUUCCCUUGGAAAUGUUGUGAUUGUCAUCCAGCAAGAUUGGCAUUUGUCAAAGCUGAAACAAUUAUGAUUGAUUCAGUUUCUGUGGUCCAUUGUUUUAUGCUUAUUUUUACUCCAAAACAAUGGAGACUGCAAAAGCAACAGUGAAAGUUGUCUGGAGGCUUUUAUGCCUAUACUUAAUGCAUGCACACAAUAGAUCUUUAUACAUAGGUACAAGGAGGAAACCUACUUAAUCACUCUUCACUCAUGGAGUACAAUAUGUAGUUUUAGGCAAGCUAAUGCUUCAGGGCCAAGAUAUUCUUUAAAUAAUUGUGUUUUUUCCCCUUGUCUUAAAACUACAUACAGUGGUAACGUUUAACUGCUAUAACCAUACCAGUGGAAAAAGUACACACACUUAAGAUGAUGUUCGAAAUUGUUCCAAUUGUCUCACCAAAAAUAUGACAUGAAUAACUUCUGUGAAAUGAAGACAAACGCUAUCAUUAAACCAAGGAGAAAUGCAAGCAUCAAAAUACCUGAUGAGCUGCUGAAUUAAGUGAUUUUAUAAAAAUGAUUUUUCAAAAUUGACCUUGGGCAAUAUGUUUCAUAAAAAAAUCUUGGUUAUCUUUUUACACCUUUUUCUUCUAGAGCCGGCCAUUUGGGUUUGACAUAAAUUAAUCCAUUUUAAUGCAAAAGACUGCGUUCAACAAACAAA